GAAUCCCGUCUUUGACACGGACUGCCUGUACAUUAUGGUGUGCUCUCGAAGAGUCGAGUUGUUUGGGAAUGCAGCUCAAAAUGGGUGGUAAAUGCCAUCUAAAGCUAAAUAUUGGCGAGAGACCGAUAGCGAACAAGUACCGUGAGGGAAAGAUGAAAAGAACUUUGGAAAGAGAGUUAAACAGUACGUGAAAUUGCUGAAAGGGAAACGCUUGAAGUCAGUCGCGUUGGCUAGAAAUCAACCUUGCUUUUGCUUUGUGUACUUUCUGGUUGACGGGUCAGCAUCAAUUUUGACCACUGGAUAAAGUCUUUGGGAAUGUGGCAUCUUCGGAUGUGUUAUAGCCCAUUGUCGCAUACGGUGGUUGGGAUUGAGGAACUCAGCACGCCGCAAGGCCGGGUUUCGACCACGUUCGUGCUUAGGAUGCUGGCAUAAUGGCUUUAAUCGACCCGUCUUGAAACACGGACCAAGGAGUCUAACAUGCCCGCGAGUGUUUGGGUGGAAAAACCCAUGCGCGCAAUGAAAGUGAAAGUUGAGAUCCUCUUCAAAGGGGGAGCAUUGACGCCCGGACCAGACCUUUUGUGACGGAUCCGCGGUAGAGCAUGCAUGUUGGGACCCGAAAGAUGGUGAACUAUGCCUGAAUAGGGUGAAGCCAGAGGAAACUCUGGUGGAGGCUCGUAGCGAUUCUGACGUGCAAAUCGAUCGUCAAAUUUGGGUAUAGGGGCGAAAGACUAAUCGAACCAUCUAGUAGCUGGUUCCUGCC
rnacentral:rRNA from 1 species